UGGGGAAUUUUGGACAAUGGGCGAAAGCCUGAUCCAGCAAUGCCGCGUGUAGGAUGAAGGCCCUCGGGUUGUAAACUACUUUUGUACGGAACGAAAAGACUCUUUCUAAUAAAGAGGGUCCAUGACGGUACCGUAAGAAUAAGCACCGGCUAACUACGUGCCAGCAGCCGCGGUAAUACGUAGGGUGCAAGCGUUAAUCGGAAUUACUGGGCGUAAAGCGUGCGCAGGCGGUUAUGUAAGACAGAAGUGAAAUCCCCGGGCUCAACCUGGGAACGGCCUUUGUGACUGCAUAGCUAGAGUACGGUAGAGGGGGAUGGAAUUCCGCGUGUAGCAGUGAAAUGCGUAGAUAUGCGGAGGAACACCGAUGGCGAAGGCAAUCCCCUGGGCCUGCACUGACGCUCAUGCACGAAAGCGUGGGGAGCAAACA
rnacentral:rRNA from 1 species